rnacentral:rRNA from 1 species
GACGAACGCUGGCGGCGUGCCUAACACAUGCAAGUGGAGCGACGAACCAGGCUUCGGCCUGGGGCAAAGCCGCGAACGGGUGAGUAACACGUGGGUAACCUGCCUCGAAGACCGGGACAACCCGAGGAAACUCGGGCUAAUACCGGAUGUGGUCACCGUCCAUAAGGACGAUGAGCAAAGGAAGCUUCGGCCUCCGCUUCGGGAGGGGCCCGCGGCCCAUUAGCUUGUUGGUGAGGUAACGGCUCACCAAGGCUGCGAUGGGUAGCUGGUCUGAGAGGACGAUCAGCCACACUGGGACUGAGACACGGCCCAGACUCCUACGGGAGGCAGCAGUGGGGAAUCUUGCGCAAUGCGCGAAAGCGUGACGCAGCAACGCCGCGUGGGGGAAGAAGGCCUUCGGGUCGUAAGCCCCUUUCAGGAGGGACGAAGCCUCGGGAGUGAAUAGCUUUCCGAGGUGACGGUACCUCACGAAGAAGCCCCGGCUAACUACAUGCCAGCAGCCGCAGUAACAC